rnacentral:ncRNA from 1 species
CCCGCUGAGUUUAAGCAUAUAAAUAAGCGGAGGAGAAGAAACUUACGAGGAUUCCCCUAGUAACGGCGAGCGAACCGGGAGAUGCCCAGCUUGAGAAUCGGGCGGCCGCGCCGUCCGAAUUGUAGUCUGGAGAGGCGUCCUCAGCGACGGACCGGGCCCAAGUCCCCUGGAAAGGGGCGCCUGGGAGGGUGAGAGCCCCGUCCGGCCCGGACCCUGUCGCCCCACGAGGCGCCGUCAACGAGUCGGGUUGUUUGGGAAUGCAGCCCAAAUCGGGCGGUAAACUCCGUCCAAGGCUAAAUACAGGCGAGAGACCGAUAGCGAACAAGUACCGCGAGGGAAAGAUGAAAAGGACUUUGAAAAGAGAGUCAAAGAGUGCUUGAAAUUGCCGGGAGGGAAGCGGAUGGGGGCCGGCGAUGCGCCCCGGCCGUAUGCGG